rnacentral:lncRNA from 1 species
AAAAUCGCAUCUGCGCGAUUUUCCCUUAUCAUAAAAUAAUUAGCAAAUACCCCCUAUGAAUAUUUUUGGACAACACACUCGACCCAUUUGAUUUUUUCCCAUUGACUGACCGUGAAAAUACCAAAAUAUCCCAUAGCCCUUUGUAAAUAAACAUAAAAUAAUAUCGAUUCAAUUAUAAAUAAUUAACCUAAUUUACAGCACCAAAUUGUAAUUUCUAAAAUUUCUGAAAAACCUAUCUCCUACCCAAAAGUUCUGGGGUUAGAAAUGGCAUUGCAGAGCAAUAACGACGGGCACGGCCGCCGCCGAAGCCUCCUCAGUCCUGCCGCUCUAUCGAUGCGGGCGACCUCACGAAAUAGUGCAGGUGAAGAGAAGGAACUGCACCGAGACAAGAACGAGAUCGAAAUCUCUCCGCCGCCUCCGGACUCGGCGGUGGGGCUGCCACCGGAAGAGUACUUCAACUUUUGUGUUGUUGAAUAUAUAUUUCCUUUUAUUUAGUAUUAACAUCCAUCAUUCUUACUGUUGUGGGUGGGCUUGUGAUGGUGCAGGAUGGUUGAACUGGUGGUGGGGAGCGGUGGUGAUUUGUGGGUGUGGUGGAGGGGGUGGUGAGUUGGAGCGGGGAAGAAGAUAACUUUUAUUUUAUUUU